rnacentral:misc_RNA from 1 species
GAACGCAUAUUGCGCUCUUUGGUAUUCCGAGGAGCAUGCCUGUUUGAGUGUCAUUUCACCCCUCAAGCUCUGCUUGGUAUUGGGCCACGCCGCGCAAGCGGCCGGCCUCGAAAACAGUGGCGGCGCCAUCUGGGCUCUCAGCGUAGUAAUUCUUCUCGCUGUUGGGCUCCGGUGGUCGUCCGCCAGCAACCCCUAACUUUUACAGUUUGACCUGGGAUGAGGUAGGGAUACCCGCUGAACUUAAG